rnacentral:rRNA from 1 species
CAGCCGCCGCGGUAAUACAGAGGGUGCGAGCGUUAAUCGGAUUUACUGGGCGUAAAGCGUGCGUAGGCGGCUUUUUAAGUCGGAUGUGAAACCCCUGAGCUUAACUUAGGAAUUGCAUUCGAUACUGGGAAGCUAGAGUAUGGGAGAGGAUGGUAGAAUUCCAGGUGUAGCGGUGAAAUGCGUAGAGAUCUGGAGGAAUACCGAUGGCGAAGGCAGCCAUCUGGCCUAAUACUGACGCUGAGGUACGAAAGCAUGGGGAGCAAACAGGAUUAGAUACCCCUGUAGUCCCUGUCUCUUAUAC